AAAAGAGCCAGGGGGCAAAAAAAACAACAACAACAACCAUUCGUAGAGAAUGCCAUAGAUGCCACUGGCCUAAAAAUUGGCACAAAGGAACUGUCUACCUGGUAACAUGUGAUACUCGGGGUACAUUUUUAUACAUUGGCUGCAGCCACAACCUUGUGGAAUUCCCCUCCGAGAAAUAAAAGUGCGGCAUUACUGAUGGGAGGAGUGCCAACGGCCAUAAAAGCUUUGUAAAAUGCUUUUACAGGACUCAUCCACAUUUGACCAGUCACAGAAAAUAGAAGAAAUUUUCUUCACUUUCAGACAGUAUUUUGCAUCAGUUUUUAUUAACCAAAAUAAGGAGACAAGAGGGACAAACAGUGCGCUCCUGUGUAGGAUCCUUUCUCGGCAAUGGAACACCAAGGUAUAAACAACAGUCUUUAAGGAUAUUCACUGAGUCCCAAAGAUAUAUCUGAUGGCACGUUUUGCCUCUAGGAAUCUCCAAUACAAGAAUCAAAUUAACAUUGUAUACUCCAAAUUGUCUUAUGUGCCAUUGUUUUUUCUAGUGCUUGCUAUUUGUUGCUAUGUUUGUCCGUUAUACAGAAUGGAAUGAUACUUUACAUCUUACUCUCCCACUCAAUGAACCCCUGAUGAACCGUAAUUAUAUAAACUGUACUGGAAACGCAUCUAACCCCUGAUGAACCGUAAUGAUAUCAACUGUACGGGGAAAUGCGUCAGGUUGUAGUAGGGGAUUGACCCUGAUAUAAUAUAGGGGGAUUGUUCCUGUGUAGGCUCUCUACAAUUUGAGCCCUACCAUCUCUGGU